CUAGAAUGGAACUUAUCAAUAUGCCAGAAGGUAACUGAAAUAGUGUGCUUGAAUGCAUCACUAUUUGUCAGUAUGGAUCUAACAGUGUGUAACACUGUAACUGUAACAGUGUGCUAGAAUUCGUCACUAUUUGUCAGAAUAGAUUUAACAGUGUGCUAGAAUGAAACCUAUCAAUGUGCCAGAAGGUAACUGUAACAAUGUGCUA